rnacentral:rRNA from 1 species
UACGUAGGGUGCGAGCGUUAAUCGGAAUUACUGGGCGUAAAGCGUGCGCAGGCGGUUUUGUAAGUCUGACGUGAAAUCCCCGGGCUUAACCUGGGAAUUGCGUUGGAGACUGCAAGGCUGGAGUCUGGCAGAGGGGGGGGGUAGAAUUCCUAGUGUAGAGGUGAAAUGCGUAGAUAUCUGGAGGAACAUCGGUGGCGAAGGCGGCAUCCUGGACCGGUAUUGACGCUGAGGCGCGAAAGCCAGGGGAGCAAAGCGGG